UGGGCGCGCGGUUCGAUCGUGCGUAAAACGAAAGUGAUUUACCUAUAAACGAACGAUCGAAUGAAAUAUAUACCGGGUGUAACGUAUGGAUUUAGUCUGUCCAUUGGGAAAUUCUUGUUGAAGGUACGAAGAGGAAUCACAGAAUGUUCAUUAUUCAACGGAUUGGAAUUCAUGAACGUCUGGGGUGUUACUUGAGCGGACCAUUUCCUGCCACCAAAUGGUUACGCAAUGGUCUACGAUGCGUCAUGAACAAGCAUGCACUCGGUGUUGAACGAUUGCCACGUUCCUAUGCAACAUCUCCAGACCGGCUCCUCUGACCUAACCAACUGACUAACUGACUGACUGACUUCAACGAUUGCCUACCUGCCUACCUGACUCUGCCUACUUACCCACCUACUUAUCGAGUCAAGAGGUGGUAAAUCGGGAACGUCGUUCGCAGGAGAACGUUUCCGAAUAAGGUCAGAGUUACCAGAGGAAAGGUGGGCGCUUGGAAUCGAGCAGGUAGGUAGCCAAGAGAACCAGUACCGAGCAAACACGCAGUACCGUUCGCCGUAUUACCCUGCAAUCCAUUACCAACACCAAGUCGAUCGAUUCAAACUGGCUAUCCUCGUCAACGUGUAUCUCAACAACCUGGACUGUGUUCAUACAUGUGUGCGAGUGGAUUUGUACACGGUGAAGAAGAAACUGCACCUCGAAGAGGGUGCUUUAGAUUGAAUCAGAGAAUCGGGGGCGAAACCCCUCCUCUAUUCAUUCUUGGAUUCGGUUCGUUUGACAUGGGACAAUUUUAAAAGUGGAGAAAUUGUGAAAUAAGGAGCAACGCGUCAUCGGCGUUUCGCGAGGCUGAGGAUCAAGAGAGUCAGCGGCGAGAUCAAGGCUAACGUGUCUCGAGUAACAAGAAUUGUUCGCGGUCGCGUGCCAUGUCGUCGUCGUCGUCGGCGUCGGCGUCGUUGGGACAUGGUCGACGACGACGACCGACGUUGGUUUGCGGUCACCAUGGUCUUGGGGGCCAUUAACACGUUCCCCGCAACCUCCGAGGGUUUCGUCAUCGGCGUCAGAAUCGGUACUGGCAUCGCUACUGGCAUCUCUCUGACGAGCAAUCGACGUUGGAAUAGAUGCUGGCAUCUCCGACGUCGGCGUAUUUCUUUUUUUUUUUUUUUUCCUUCGUCACGUGUUCGCUCGAGAAUGCGUAAUACGCAGAACACAGUGGCGGUGUUUGUUCGAGCGAACACGUCGGCCACGGUAGCUCGGUACUUUGAAUCUUAUUAAUCAAAUCACGUUGCAAAAAACAUUCCUUCCCUCUCCGAGUUCCAUGAAAGAGGAAACUUCUGUCGGAAGGAACGCGAGCAAGAUCUUGAUUGACGCAACCAGGUGAUCAUCAACGUCAUAACUGAUAAUUAUAGACAAUACAAUUUUCUGCGUGUUGCAACGAGACUCGUAAAGCGUACUAUAGAAUAAUCAAUGAAAAGAUCUCCCCGUAGGCUACUUAUUUUCUAGAACAGAGGAAGUAAGGAAAAUAUUUUGUGGAAUAUCGAAAGUCAUCGACGUCGAAUGAUUUUCUCGAUUUCACCCACUCGAUUUCUACCAUACGUUACCAUCUAUAGCCAUCGCGUGAAAUACCCUCCUGGAAGGGAUUAUGCUCGACCCACGCGUACAGCCUACAUGGACAGACCAGGAGCAGAAACGUCCCCUAUCGUUUACGUAUGUGGUUACGAAACACAGCUGGUUGUCACGGCGUUGCGCCUCGCUGGCUCUCCUCGUAUCCUUACCUAUCAGGUGUUACGAUACCUCUUUCGCCUUCGACUCCACCAGCCCGUGGCCUCCUCCUACUUGCUAAGGUCGCUCUAAAAUUAGGAUCGGUUCGAUAGUUUGAAGGAAGGGCCUGAGACUAGCCUUCGAGGUGUAUCACCCAUCGUAUUAAUUCGCGGAACGCUCUUUUUGUAAUCCUUCGAUCGUUAUGAUAGUCGCGUUAGAAUCGAUAACGAGAAACGUACAACGCACGCCACAGGCGAUUCAUAUAGCUUACAUGGUAAAUUGAGUACACGCCCAUCGACCGAGCACAACGUUGAAAACAGUUUCUACGAUUCCAGGAGGUUACCUUACCUUUUUCAGAUGCUUGUUCACCCAUUUGGUAAAUGUUUUCUUUUGGAUCGCGUCUCGUUCGUCUGCAAUCACAAAGACAAGGAUUUCGUUAGAGACUCGGUGAUUUCGAUCGGCAGGCAACGAUGGUGUACAUUCUUGAUUCUCACGACCCGGUCUAAUUAAAUCGUUCGUUUGCAUUUGCAGUUGCGAACCUACACAAACACAGGCGUCAAACGAGUCGAAGCAAUCCAGAUAGACGGACAGGCAGACGGACAGGUAGGUGGUUGGAUAGAUAGGUAAAAGUAAGUAGGCAGGUAGGUAAAUGGGUGGUGGAUGGGUGGGCAGUCAGGUAGGAAACGAAAACAGUCAAUCGUGCAGGUACACAAGCAAACGUGCCCUAAAAUCUUUGCCGAGUUAGGUGAACGCGAAAGCAAUGGCCAUUUUCCAGUAACAAAUUGAUAUUAAUUUAAAAACAAAAAAUUGAUUCAUUAACAUUUGAUUGUAUGUAAAAUAAAAAUGGCAUAAGAAUACCAGCUUAUAGAAAAUGGCCACAACUUAGCAUAUACCUGACAGAAGGAAUUCUAAUUCCCAACCUGUGCCUUUGUUUCUCAACCUGUGUCCUAAACAGCUGAUCCGUAAUAAAGCAAAAGCAAUUGUUCUAUUCGUAGCCACGGCAAGUGCCAUUUCGUGUAAUCCGACUUAGAAAGCUUACCAAGUUCGCGUAACAAUGUCCAAGAUUCUUAAAAACCGAGGGCAUUGAGAAGAAAAAGCUUACCAAGAAAUACCAAUUGCCUGUUGGACAGUAUUGUACGAUGUAACAAGUUCGACGACACCGAGUCGAAGUUAAUCAAGCGGGAGGCAGUCCGUGCUCCCGAGCAAUUAAUUACCAUCGAUUAUUUGAUUCUAUCUAGCGAAGCUCUCGUUAAGAAACAGUUAUCGUCGACCGACUUCGAAACUAAGACGAUAAAUUAACCCUUCUACUGGGUCGUUCCAAGUCUCAAAUGUAUCAUUCUAACGAGAUAGAUUUAAGAGAAAUUUAAACAGAUUCAGUAAAUUCCCCGACGUAGCGUCAACCUUUGAAGAUAAGAAAGAGAAACCUAUUUGUACAGUUUCAUAAUGACCCUUUUGCGCAGUCUGUUUAAUGAACCGAAUCUAAAGCCGAAACGACUCGAUUUUGACCGAGAAUUAAAAUUAUGAAAAAUUUCGAACGAAAGUCUAAAUGGUUUAACCUUUGGACAAAUGAAAAGGAAACAAUGCCUGAAAUAAAAUUGAUAUUAUCCUUAUCUUACGUUCGUGUUCCAGCACUAAAAUAUCGAUUAGCUAAGAUUGCCACGUAAUCGUUAAAAAUAAAAGACGCAUUUAUUCUAAUUGACGUGACAAGGCAUUAUCUGGUAAUCGGCUUAAUCGAAGUUCGUCAGCCGAGACGGAGUUUCCGAUGUAAUCGAGAACGACACCUCGGAAGAGUGGCAUACCGAAACUCAAUGGAGAUAAAUUGGGACAACGAGGAGAACACAUUGGUCCCCCUCGGGGCAUAUGGGAUUUUCGGAGCACGCGUGAUAACAGGGACAAACGAACGCUUGUCCCUGAACAUCACUAUGGAAAAGGAAUGCGUUUUUCAUGACGAUGAUACAGAAAUCAGGAAGUUACGUGCUCGUCGCGCGAAUAAACGAUCGUAUUAUUUUUAAUAAGCAUAUUUGGCCCGGAUAUUUAUAAAUUCUUCUCGAAGAGAUCUUGAAAUUCUUUCGUAAGCAAGAUGCUAUCUAUGCUACGUGCUUGUGCGUAAAAAACCCGUUUCUAAAAAUGAUUUUACCGUAAACAAACUAAGAAGGCAAAGCCUUGAUCGUCUUAUUUUUGUGACGAAGAUCGACGCGAUAUUAGACACACAAAGACACUUCAAAAAAAAAGAAAAAGUUAGUUAAUGUUGAGGGGGCAUAUACACCAAGCAAUUUCAAAAUUUUUAUUUCUAGGUGGUAUAUGCUCCCUUAAGGAGAUAAAAAAACCAAAAAAGAAAAAAAAUUCAAACGCGAAGCGUGUCAAAAAAUCUCUCGUAUCAAGCAGAUUUAUCCAAUUCUUUGGAUUAUAAUCCCGCCGCGAAGACUCCACCUAUUUUACCCCAGCUAUUUCCGAGGCUACUUCCGCGAAACAUUCGGGUCAAACGGCAAAAGGUAAACGACCUCAAAAUGAAAAAAUAAAAAAA